CAUGGGGUUCGUGAUGGCUGAAGGCGCUGAAGGGGCAGACGGGAAUGUGAUGAGUGGUGUCGCAGAAGACUGCAAAGAGCUCCAACAGCAGUUUUCUGCGGCUGCUCAGUUCCUACAAACAAAUACAAAGGAGCUAACGUCUGCUCAACUCCUGUAUUUAUAUGCAAGAUAUAAGCAGGUGCAAGAAGGGCCGUGUUGCAUCGCCAAGCCAAGUGUAUUUGAUCCGAAAGGCAGGCAGAAAUGGGAUGCUUGGAAACAGCUUGGUGACAUGAGUUCCACGCAAGCCAUGCAGGAGUACAUUGCUGAAAUUGAAAGGCUCUUCCCAACAUGGAAGCCUCAGGACCAAAAGUUUCCGGGAACGGGCUUUGGAUCUGCUGUGAGCAAACUGCAAAUUGUACAGGAACAUGACGUUACUCAAAAAGACAUCUUCGACUGGGUCAAGGAGGGGGACAUAACGAGGAUAAAAGAGUGUCUGGAAGGAGCUUCCAUCUUGCAGCGCGUGGACAGUGAGGUGGACGAUAUUGCUCAAUACACUUUCUGCAGAAGAGAACGGAAUAUGUUUUGCUAUGGGGUUGGUGCAUAUCAAAUAGCCACUCGAUUCAGACACCCGAAGGCUCGUCUUGGACUCGAGUAAUUUUGUAGCAUUGUGAGUGAUAAGCUGUGCUAGCCACACUGUCGUGAGGUGUGUCUGUUGUGUUGCAACAGUUUGUGACAGAGCCCGCACGUGCACCUCCCCACUGUGGUUCGAAAUGCUAUAGAAGCAGGUGACCAGGUGGGUGUCCAGUGAACAAAGCAUCUUGGCUAGAAGACGUCUCCUAUGCUCAAGAAUAACAAGGAAGAAAUUUUGCGUCGGAUUGUCAACCUGCUGUGACAGCUGUUAGUGAACUUUGCAUUGGCCACCUUUCCAUUUGUGGUGACCUACCGCUGGAACCAUUCACUUUUCCGACAAGGUGAAACCAUGGUACCAUCAUACUCUACUACUACAUGAAAUGUCCCUUGAAGCCAGCAUUGGCAAGCAUGGUUUCCUUGUCUUCCAUGCCAAUGCUUGUACCACUGUGCCACUGUAGGAGUCCCCAAAUGACCCCAACUGAUGAAGACCCUGUUGGGUAAGAAUCAUUUAAACGACAAAAGUGGAUGUCACAGCUUCGGCAGUGCUUUGAGUAUGGCCUCCAGAUUUUAGCAGAACUUUAGCAACAUUGCCUAGGUGGCUGCUUUGGUUAGGGUAUGACACUACUUCAUUGGGCCUGUGACCGAGGUAUGCAAGAGGCGGCCCUUCUGCUAUUGGAGGCAGGUGCUGAUGUGAACAAACAGG